UCCAGACUCCUACGGGAGGCAGCAGUGGGGAAUAUUGCACAAUGGGGGAAACCCUGAUGCAGCGACGCCGCGUGAGUGAAGAAGUAUUUCGGUAUGUAAAGCUCUAUCAGCAGGGAAGAAAAUGACGGUACCUGACUAAGAAGCCCCGGCUAACUACGUGCCAGCAGCCGCGGUAAUACGUAGGGGGCAAGCGUUAUCCGGAUUUACUGGGUGUAAAGGGAGCGUAGACGGUAGAGCAAGUCUGAUGUGAAACCCCGGGGCUCAACCCCGGGCAUGCAUUGGAAACUGGCGGGCUGGAGUGCCGGAGAGGUAAGCGGAAUUCCUAGUGUAGCGGUGAAAUGCGUAGAUAUUAGGAGGAACACCAGUGGCGAAGGCGGCUUACUGGACGGCAACUGACGCUGAGGCUCGAAAGCGUGGGGAGCAAACAGGAUUAGAUACCCGGGUA
rnacentral:rRNA from 1 species